rnacentral:misc_RNA from 1 species
UUGAGAUGAUUAAGCUUGUGAG